rnacentral:rRNA from 1 species
UACGUAGGGGGCAAGCGUUGUCCGGAAUCAUUGGGCGUAAAGAGCGUGUAGGCGGCCCGGUAAGUCCGCUGUGAAAGUCGGGGGCUCAACCCUCGAAUGCCGGUGGAUACUGUCGGGCUAGAGUGCGGAAGAGGCGAGUGGAAUUCCUGGUGUAGCGGUGAAAUGCGCAGAUAUCAGGAGGAACACCCGUGGCGAAAGCGGCUCUCUGGAACGGUACUGACGCUGAGACGCGAAAGCGUGGGGAGCGAACAGG